rnacentral:lncRNA from 1 species
AAGCAUUCAGCUUUAACGAACAUAACAUUUAAGUGGAUAAGAAUAACACUGUUAUUUUUGACAAUAUGGAUACAAUUUGCUAAUUAAUUGUCGGGUGUACCUAUCAGUUUAUUAUGUUUUUUUAUAAAAGUUAAAAUAUUAAUCUUACAGAAGGAUAUAUUUCUAUAUAUAAGUAUUAGCUUAUGACAGUGGAGAUAGCCUGGAAGAUGAAUAUUCAUACAAAACUAUAAAAAUUAAUGUAAAGGCAGGAUUCAGUCAUGGCAGAGGGGGGCCCUAGUGACAACACAAGGGACAGUAAACUUCAAAGUAAGUGU